rnacentral:snRNA from 1 species
GGAUGUGAGGGUGAUCUGGCUGCGAUGUCUGUCACUCCAUUAAUCACCCAGGCUGAUUUGGCUGAUCUGGCUGGUAGGCAGGUGUCCCCUUCCUCUCUCAUGGCUAGCAUCCUUCCUGAAGUUUCAUACUGGGUAGAGACUGGCUUCUGAUGAAGGAGGACCUUUCUUCUGUAGCCAGGAUCUGUGUUCCUCUACUAGACCCAUAAGCUCCUCCGAGCUCAGCGGGGGCCUUUGUGCUGUUUAUU